UGUGUGUGUGUGUGUGUGUGUGUGAAGGACUCACAGGCGAGUCGGUCUCGGAGUUCAGGUGUGUGUGUGUGUGUGUGUGUGAGACUCACAGGCGAGUCGGUCUCGGAGUUCAGGUGUGUGUGUGUGUGUGUGUGUGUGUGUGUGUGUGUGUGUGUGUGUAGACUCACAGGCGAGUCGGUCUCGGAGUUCAGGUGUGUGUGUGUGUGUGUGUGUGUGUGUGUGUGUGUGUGUGUGUGUGUGUGUGUGAAGGACUUACAGGCGAGUCGGUCUCGGAGUUCAGGUGUGUGUGUGUGUGUGUGUGUGUGUGUGUGUGUGUGCGAGACUCACAGGUGAGUCGGUCUCGGAGUUCAGGUGUGUGUGUGUGUGUGUGUGUGUGUGUGUGUGUGUGUGUGAAGGACUCACAGGCGAGUCGGUCUCGGAGUUCAGGUGUGUGUGUGUGUGUGUGUGUGUGUGUGUG